rnacentral:rRNA from 1 species
GACGGAGGGUGCAAGCGUUGUUCGGAAUUACUGGCGUAAGCGCGGGACAGGUGGCCUUUAAGUCCUUUGUGAAAUUCCGGAGCUCAACUCCGGAUGUCGCAUAGGAUACUGGAAGGCUAGAGACUGGUAGAGGCGAGCGGAAUUCCUGGUGUAGCGGUGGAAUGCGUAGAUAUCAGGAAGAACACCGGUGGCGAAGGCGGCUCGCUGGGCCAGUUCUGACACUCAUCCGCGAAAGCGUGGGGAGCAAACAGG